CACAGAGGCCAACAGACCACUAUCAUUGCGUCAAAGAGACCACCUUUCACAUGAAACAUUUCUACAGGCUUAUACUAUUUCUGUCUCGUUGGACCAUUGGAUCACUACCAUCACACCAUUUCCAUACAGGUGAUUAUUUGAUUCAUGGUGUUGGAAGGAAUACUUUUCUUUUGUUCAGGUGGUGCUUUUGGUGUUAGAAAGACUCUUUUUGAUUUUAGGUAGGGGAUAUAGUUGUCUCAAAAAGUGUCAUUAGGUCAACAAAAACAGUUGCAAUUGGAGUACUUAAAAGUACAGACCCAUCUAAAUAACUAAAAGGGCAAGAACUAGGAUCUGACUAAUAUGGAAGGCACAUGUUCAAGUGUCAGUCAAACCUAAUGAGAGCUUGAUCCGAUCAUAUGGACUUGUCAAAACAAUUAGACAAGCUAUUGGAACUCAUGUUGCUUGGCCUUCUCCAUUUGUGAUUUCGCAAGUUAUGGAUGCUAGUCGAGAAAUUUAUACCGGUGAGGUUGAGAAUUUGGGAACUAAAUUUGUUUUGAUAAUGUCUCUCCGGAAGAUGGAUAUCACUAUGGCUUUUCAGAAUUUAU